UACGUAGGGACCGAGCGUUGUCCGGAUUCAUUGGGCGUAAAGGGCUCGUAGGCGGUUUGUCACGUCGGGAGUGAAAACUCGGGGCUUAACCCCGAGCCUGCUUCCGAUACGGGCUGACUAGAGGUAUGCAGGGGAGAACGGAAUUCCUGGUGUAGCGGUGAAAUGCGCAGAUAUCAGGAGGAACACCGGUGGCGAAGGCGGCUACCUGGACCGGUUCUGACGCUGAGGCGCGAAAGCGUGGGUAGCAAACAGG
rnacentral:rRNA from 1 species